UACGUAGGGUGCGAGCGUUGUCCGGAAUUAUUGGGCGUAAAGGGCUCGUAGGCGGUCUGUCGCGUCGGGAGUGAAAACUCAGGGCUUAACCCUGAGCCUGCUUCCGAUACGGGCAGACUAGAGGUAUGCAGGGGAGAACGGAAUUCCCGGUGUAGUGGUGGAAUGCGUAGAGAUCGGGAGGAAUACCAGUGGCGAAAGCGGCACCCUGGCGUCGUACUGACGCACAUGUGCGAAAGCGUGGGGAGCGAACGGG
rnacentral:rRNA from 1 species